UUCUCACCGCAACCGCUCGAAUCAGGUGUUCAACAGGUUUUUUGCUUUAUAAAAAACCGACCUGCAAUGGCGAGUCUAGGGCAUGGG
rfam:Desulfosporosinus sp. OT TOT.assembly.275, whole genome shotgun sequence.